rnacentral:misc_RNA from 1 species
CAAGAGUUGAAAAACUCCCUAAACACUUGUGAACCUACCCGUCUCGUUGCUUCGGCGGGCGGCCCCAGGGGGGGCCUAUGCCCUCGCGGGCGCCCGCCGGAGGCCCAAAACUCUAUAGCCAGCGACGUCUCUCUGAGAAAUACAAAAUAAGUUA